UCAAAUAUCUCCUUUUUUUUUUUUACUUUCCAGGACACCUGGAAAGGAUCUGGAGCCCCACACUAAAGGAUACAAAAGUGCUGAUAAUGCUGACUUCGAUGCCUUUUCCAGGCGAGAUAUUUUGGAAUGCAAUCUGUUUAAUUCUCUGGGACCUCUGGGACACAACACCACGGUAGCUGAGCAACUCUUCAUCUGGAAAUCAGCUGAAAUAGACUUUUCCCCCCAACAUUUUGUGUUUCUCUUCUGUGAGAAUCAGUUUGAUCAGGGAAAACAAGAAUUUAAAGGGAUUUUCAGGUUGGUUUGUCAGCAUCAAGUUCCUUCCAGAGCCCAGCAGUGCCUGGAAUCAGUGAUGUGUCCUAGGAAAUCACCUUCUCCAGAAAUAUGGAAUAUCCUGAGUUGGAAGAGAUUCACAAGGAUCAUCCAGGAGUUCAACUCCUGGCACUGCACAGGACAAUUCCAAGAAUCCCCAGAUGAGUUUUUUCGAUUCUUUUCCUUUUUUUUUCUCUUCCCCCUGCCCUGCUGGUAAGGGCAGUGAUGGAGUGACUUCAUCAACCCAACCUCGCUCCAUCCUCAUUCCCAGGAUUGUGCCAGCACUGUCAAGGUCUGGUUCCCCACAGCCACUUCUGCACAUGGAAGUGAUGUUGGAAUCAUGGAAUCUGAGGAUCAUCAAGGUCAGAAAAGACCUGGGGAUGUCCAAGGCCAGAUUGGACAGGACUUGGAGCAGCUUGGGACAGCAGAAGGUGUCCUGCCCAUGGCAGGGGUAGGACGGGAUGAGUUUCGAGUCCCUUCCAACCCAAACCAUUCUGUGAUUCUUCUCCAGCUGGUGAGGAGGACUUGGGGGGCUGUUCCCAAAUUUUAGGAGGAGCUAUCCUUUUAGUCUGAUCCCUGCUGAUCAUGAUCCCAUGGAAAUAAGUUGGCUACAAGCUGGAAUUUUGGCCAGAGGAGGGGAAAAAACUCCCUGGAGAGGUAGGAACAAUGGAAUUUUUGAGUUUUGAGGUGCUGGUCAAGAACAGAGUGAAGGAUGGAAAGCUGAGCUUGCUGUUCCUGGGUAAGUCAGAGAUGUAGGGAAAUGAUUGUGGAGAGGAACCAGAUCAUGGACAACAAAAUCAUGGGAAAUGAUUGUGGAGAGGAACCAGAUCAUGGACAACAAAAUAAUGGGAAAUGAUUAUGGAGAGGAACCAGAUCAUGGACAACAAAAUCAUGGGAAAUGAUUGUGGAGAGGAACCAGAUCAUGGACAACAAAAUCAUGGGAAAUGAUUGUGGAGAGGAACCAGAUCGUGGACAACAAAAUCAUGGGAAAUGACUGUGGAGAGGAACCAGAUCAUGGACACCAAAGCCACAGGUGGGGCAGUAACUCUGCAGGACCUGUGAGAAAGAUAUUUGGGGAUGUGUGAUAAAAAAAUCGGGGAACUCUGGAGAAGGACGGGAUGGAAUUGGAAGUGGGAAGAUGAAUUUCAUGGUGGCCACCGUGUUCUGUGAGCAGCAAGAUCCAGGUCGGAGUGUUGUGGACACUGAGGAUCUUUCUUGGGGUUGUGACCAGAGCCAGGAGCAGAUAAACAGGAACGACACUGACACUUUAUCCCACUUGGCUCAAGUGGAAAUUCAAUCCCAAGUUUUUUGCUUGGGAAGCUCCUGAAGUCCAAGCACCCAAUUAGCAGCAGCUCUGCAGCGGGGGCUGACGAGCUUUCGAUAAAUGAGUGAUCCUUGCAGAGCACCGAGCCAAAGCCACUUCUCUCCCAAGCCAAGGGCUCCAGCAAGGCAGGAAUUCCCAAGUUUUGCAUUAAUUGGAUUUUUAAUGGCUUUCAAAACCAACUGAAAGUGUGAAGUGCCCAAUAAUUACUGCAGGUUAAGGUGACACUUUGAAAAAUGGAUGGGAUGAGAACAUGAAUGAAGCAAACCUUGCUCCAGCCUAAAACAAUGGAUAAUGUGGAUUUGAUAAUCCUCUGGAAUAAAUAAACACCAGGAUCAGGCUCAACAAAUCAUUUUUCAUGCUGGAGAAUUUUGACUACCAAGAAGGAAGUUCGGGAGAAGUGGCUCCAGCUCUUUCUUGGAGGUGCCCAAGGAAUGCCUGGAAGCGGCUCCGGGCUGGUGGCAAGGCUUUCUCAAGGAGCUGUGGU